rnacentral:piRNA from 1 species
UGGCAGAGACGAUGGUGUUGGCGGCC